rnacentral:misc_RNA from 1 species
GAGAGAGAGAGAGAUAGAAACAAGUGUAGAGAUAAAGAAAAUAAGGGGAAGGGGGGGUUGAAAGAAGGCAGAAUGAAGUCUUUCUCUGUAUCAGUGGUAGCAGUGGUGGCGUUGAUUCUGCUGACCACAAGCAAUUGCAGAGCUAGUGUUCCAAAGAGCAUGGGUGGCAACCACUUCUCGGUAGGGGAUGCCAAUAUGGAGUCUGAGUUCAUGAUGGACUCUGAGUUUAGUAGAAUGCUUGCAGGUAGUACACCAAUUAUUGGCUCUAAGCCUUUAAACCGUCCACCAGUUUUGGAUAAUUGUAAAGAUUCCAAACACUACUGUCUUCCAAGUCGAAAUUGCCCCACUUACCGACGGGAUUGUCUACGCUGAUUAGCUUAUUUUACCACUAUAGCCAUGGCUAGCGCUUCAACCAUCUUUCUAUCUCUGCUACUCCGUGCAAAUGGAAUAUUGGGGUUUACAAAUAAAUGAUCAGCAUGUAUUCUGCUUCUUCUCAAUAAAUGAUCAGCAUGUAUUCUUCUUCUUCUUCUCUUCUUAUUUUGUUCUAUUGACAUCAAAACUGUAUGUGUGAAAAUUAUCUUUCUUUAAAUUACUAUAAACUCUUUGAAAUUCAUCCAAAUCAAUAUUUUUUUUUAAUUGGAUUCUUAUAUUUGUUGGGGCAGGACUGGGGAUAGUAAAAUUGGGCACCGCCCCACUUCAUUGCCAUUGCCGAGAGGCACUGCCAUUUGUUUUUUACCACGGUAUUAUAUGGCAGUAACAGUCCUUGACAAAAAGGAGACAAUGACAUAUAUACUUAUAAAUCAACAGCCUGUCAUUUUUUUUGUUGUUUUCCAAAAGGAUAAUGUCAAACUCAAGUGCUCAACGAUGAUUAGUUCGGCUGAGUGGUGGCCAAAUAAUGUUGCAUUUAUUCUCCAUCGCCUAAUUUUUUAUUAAAUAAAAAAUCAUAUGCAAUCUUAAAUGUUACCUAAUGAAUUUUUAUUUUUUUUAUAUUAAUUUUAAUAAUUUAUUAUAACUAUAAUAGUGUAUUCA